GACGAACGCUGGCGGCGUGCUUAACACAUGCAAGUCGAACGGAAAGGCCCCUUUGGGGGUACUCGAGUGGCGAACGGGUGAGUAACACGUGAGUAACCUGCCCUUGACUUCGGGAUAACUUCAGGAAACUGGGGCUAAUACCGGAUAGGAAUCCUUGCUGCAUGGUGGGGGUCGGAAAGCUUCGGCGGUUUUGGAUGGACUCGCGGCUUAUCGGCUUGUUGGUGGGGUAGUGGCUUACCAAGGCUUUGACGGGUAGCCGGCCUGAGAGGGCGACCGGCCACAUUGGGACUGAGAUACGGCCCAGACUCCUACGGGAGGCAGCAGUGGGGAAUAUUGCACAAUGGGCGGAAGCCUGAUGCAGCAACGCCGCGUGCGGGAUGACGGCCUUCGGGUUGUAAACCGCUUUCAGCAGGGGCGAAGCUUUUGUGACGGUACCUGCAGAAGAAGCACCGGCUAACUACGUG
rnacentral:rRNA from 1 species